UAAGUGCUCAAUAAAAAGUGAACAGCGCCUU
rnacentral:piRNA from 1 species